GCCCAGGGUCCAAGCUCCUUGAAUAAGGCCUGACUGUACAUGUGUGCACAUACCAGGGAGGCAGGGGCUCAUCCGGCCCCAUCCUCCCCUGGCCCCACAGCGGGCACUCACGGUCUUCCUCGGGGGGAAGACAGGGAGAACCCAGUGCCUGUGGAAGGUUAAACAGUGCGUGGGCUGAGCAAGCGUGCCGGGGCUACCUGGCCGGGCAUGCUAGGGGCUUGCAGCAGACCUCAAGUGCCAGGGAAUGGAGCCGCUCUGUAGGUUUGGACAGAGGAAGUGGAGGCUGGGAUGGUGGGCUUCAGGCGGCGAGGCAGAAGACAUUCUAAUUAUUCAGUCAAAGGAGGCUUUGAGCUCUGCUGGGUGAAGGGGAGGAGGAUUUGUGCAGCAGCUUCCACCAGUGAGGCACAUGUGGCUGUACCUUCCUCACUGCAUCACUGCACCCAUUUCACAGGUAAGGAAACAUUGGCCCAGAGAGGGCCUUCACUGGCCCUAGAGCAUGCAUUUCCAGGCCUGAGCCCAUGUCUGUCUGACCCCAAAGCCAUCAUUUCUGUGGGGUAGAGGGCUGAGCACCAGCCAGUCACGACCCUGCUUUGUUGAGGAGUGGUUUAGCUGUGGAGUCGGUCUGCUCGGAUUUGAAUCCUGACUCUGUCCCUACCAGCUGUAUGGUUGUGGGGUCACCUCAUUGCCCAAGAUGGCUGCUGGAGCCCCAGCCAGCAGGAAGGAAGAAGAAAGCCUGAAGAAGGACAUGCCCCUUCCCUUCAAGGAAGCUUCCUAGAAGUCACACUUAUAUUCCAUUGGCCAGAACUCAGUCAUCUAGCCAUACCUAGCUGCAAGGGAAGCUAGGUAGUCUAGUCUUUAUUCCAUGGGGGUCUGGCUAAAAGUUGGGAAAUAAACGAGGAAUGGAUAUUAGGAGACAGGAUCUGCCACAAAGCCUCUUUGUUCCUUUUAGAUUGCAACUGCCAGAGGGUAAGUGGGGCCUUCCCAACGCCCUGCCUCAAGCAAUCCUGGUUCUCUCCCUUCUCUGAGGUCUCAGUUCUUCCCUGAUACUCAGUAGUUACUGCCUGGAGCUGCUAAAGGCAGCAGCACAAUGCCACAUCCGGCUGCCGUUGGCUGUUGUCCACCGUCUGCAGAUCCAGGCCAGUGCACUCACUUAUCUCACAACAGCUCAACAGGCAGCUAGUCUUAGUCCCAUUUUAUAGUUGAGAAAUUGAGGCCUAAAGAGGUUAAGUAACUUGCCCAAGAGCACGCAGCUGGGCUCUGAGCCCAGUUCCUGUGUGUUUCUUUCUUUCCUGUUGAGCCUUCCCUGUAGGGGUGGAUGCCCUGGGCCUUCUCAGGGUCUGACAAGAGGAACUGGAAUGGUCUGAGCCCUAGGAGGGGCCUGUCUGGGAGGAGAGGGCAGGCAGGGGCGUGACCUGGGUCCUCA
rnacentral:lncRNA from 10 species